UACGUAGGUGGCAAGCGUUGUCCGGAUUUAUUGGGUUUAAAGGGUGCGUAGGCGGAUCGUUAAGUCGGGGGUGAAAUCCUGGAGCUCAACUCCAGAACUGCCUUCGAUACUGGCGAUCUUGAGUCCGGAAGAGGUGAGUGGAACUCCUAGUGUAGAGGUGGAAUUCGUAGAUAUUAGGAAGAACACCAGUGGCGAAGGCG
rnacentral:rRNA from 1 species